rnacentral:misc_RNA from 1 species
AACCUAGCACACCUGCGGUGUGUACCUGCGGAAGGAUCAUUAAUAAAUGUUACUUCGGUAACUUAAUUAAUCCCUAACACCUGUGCAUCUUGUCGCUCCGGCGUCAUUUUAUAAACAUCAGUGUAAUGAAUGUAAAGUAUUAUAACAAAUACAACUUUCAACAACGGAUCU